UGGAGGAGGAACAGGGCCCUGCUAGACUCUGGUGAUGAGUCUCCUACAGGUGGAGAUGACCUGACAAUAACCCACAUCAACAGAGAGAACCAGGGAGACAUCUACAGCUGCCAGGCCGUGGAGGAGGGGCUGCAGUCUGACUGGAGUCACGGACAUGUACUGGAUGUUCUCUAUGGACCUGGUCAGAUACAGUUUGACGGCACAAGUGACAAGCUGGAGGUAGAAGAAGGGAAACCUGUAACAGUGACAUGUUCUGCUGACUGUAACCCUGCCUGUACUGUAACCUGGUGGAACAUAUCCAGACAGACUGUGAUUACAGGACAGGGGGAGGCUGUGUUGUCUAUACCAGCUGUAGACGUACCUGUGUCUGGACUGUACACGUGUCACGUCAACAACAGCCAUGGGAGUGCAUCACGGAACCUGACGCUGGAGGUCUUCUCACGUGAAGUUACUGAAUCUGGUGUCGUUUCCAUCGUCCCCGUGACUGGUGUCUGUUCCAUCCUGAUCGUGGUCAUCGCCGUUGUCG